AUGUCCCACGCGUACACGGCGAUUCCGAGCGCAACGUUCACAUCCGCCGGACGACUACUCGCUACGUUUUGGCAGCC
rnacentral:sRNA from 2 species